rnacentral:rRNA from 1 species
UACGUAGGGUGCAAGCGUUAAUCGGAAUUACUGGGCGUAAAGCGUGCGCAGGCGGUGAUGUAAGACAGAUGUGAAAUCCCCGGGCUCAACCUGGGAACUGCAUUUGUGACUGCAUCGCUGGAGUGCGGCAGAGGGGGAUGGAAUUCCGCGUGUAGCAGUGAAAUGCGUAGAUAUGCGGAGGAACACCGAUGGCGAAGGCAAUCCCCUGGGCCUGCACUGACGCUCAUGCACGAAAGCGUGGGGAGCAGACAGG